GGCGAGAUAGCUCAGUUGGUAGAGCGCCUGACUAUUUCAGGGGACCCGGGUUCAAAUCUCAGUCUCGUCU